UGAGGGAUAUUGGUCAAUGGGCGCAAGCCUGAACCAGCGACGCCGCGUGGGUGAAGAAGGUCUUCGGAUCGUAAAGCCCUUUUCCCACUGAAGAGGAAGGACGGUGGGUGGGGAAGAAGUCUCGGCUAACUACGUGCCAGCAGCCGCGGUAAAACGUAGGAGACAAGCGUUAUCCGGAGUUACUGGGCGUAAAGGGCGUGCAGGUGGCGUCUUAAGUCUGUUGUGAAAGCGCCUGGCUUAACCGGGCGAGGCCAAUGGAGACUGAGAGGCUGGAGGACGGCGGAGGGGGGUGGAAUUCCGGGAGUAGUGGUGAAAUGCGUAGAGAUCCGGAGGAACACCAGAGGCGAAGGCGGCACUCUAAGCCGUACCUGACACUGAGACGCGACAGCACGGGGAGCAAACG
rnacentral:rRNA from 1 species